rnacentral:rRNA from 1 species
AAUAACGGCUCAGUGAAGCGGCAACAGCUCAAAUUUGAAACCUGCCAACCGGCCGGAUUGUAAUUUGCAGAGGAUGCUUUGGGAAAGGUACUGAUCUAAGUUUCUUGGAACAGAACGUCACAGAGGGUGAGAAUCCCGUCCGUGGUCGGCCGCCUGCCCCGUGUAAAGCUCCUUCGACGAGUCGAGUUGUUUGGGAAUGCAGCUCUAAAUGGGUGGUAAAUUUCAUCUAAAGCUAAAUAUUGGCCAGAGACCGAUAGCGCACAAGUAGAGUGAUCGAAAGAUGAAAAGCACUUUGGAAAGAGAGUUAAACAGCACGUGAAAUUGUUGAAAGGGAAGCGCUUGCAAUCAGACUUGGGCGCGGGUACUCAGGGACGGUUCGCCGUUCUGUAUUUGCCCGCGCACAGGCCAGCAUCAGUUUUGGGGGUGGGAUAAAGGCCGUAGGAAUGUGGCUCUUCGGAGUGUUAUAGCCUACGGUGCCAUGCCACCUCCCGGGACUGAGGACCGCGCUUCGGCUAGGAUGCUGGCGUAAUGAUUGUAAGCGACCCGUCUUGAAACACGGACCAAGGAGUCUAACAUCUAUGCGAGUGUUUGGGUGUCAAACCCACACGCGGAAUGAAAGUGAACGGAGGUGAGAGCCCUUGAGGGUGCAUCAUCGACCGAUCCUGAUGUCUUCGGAUGGAUUUGAGUAUGAGCAUAGCUGUUGGGACCCGAAAGAUGGUGAACUAUGCCUGAAUAGGGUGAAGCCAGAGGAAACUCUGGUGGAGGCUCGCAGCGGUUCUGACGUGCAAAUCGAUCGUCAAAUUUGGGUAUAGGGGCGAAAGACUAAUCGAACCAUCUAGUAGCUGGUUCCUGCCCGAAGUU